rnacentral:rRNA from 1 species
UCUAUACGCGGAGGAGCCGUAGGUCAACCAGCNGAGNAACACCGGGGAAGGAAAGGAUGGGAGGAUAACAAAANNAANNNACAACAACGGAUCUCUUGGCUCUCGCAUCGAUGAAAAACGCAACGUAAUGCGAUAAGUAAUGUGAAUUGCCGAAUUCUUCGAAUCAUCAUGUCUUUGAACGCGCUUGCGCUCUCUGGUAUUCCGGAGAGCAUGCCUGUUUGACUAUCUUGAAAUCUCAACCAUUAGGGUUUCUUAAUGGCUGGGAAUUGGGUGUUGCCAGUCGCCUGGCUCGCCUUAAAAGAGUUAGCGUGUUUAACUUGUCUAUCUGGCGUAAUAAGUUUCGCUGGUGUCGGCUUGAGAAGUACGCUUCUAAUCGUCCUCGGACAAUUCUUGAACUCUGGUCUCAAAUCGGGUAGGGCUACCCGCUGAACUUAAGCAUAUCAAUAANCGGAGGAACCCCCUAUCAUGAANGGAUUCCAUCUGAACAUGAACAUAUCAAUAANCGGAAGA